rnacentral:rRNA from 1 species
UACGAAGGGGGGCUAGCGUUGCUCGGAAUUACUGGGCGUAAAGCGCACGUAGGCGGAUCUUUAAGUCAGGGGUGAAAUCCUGGAGCUCAACGUCCAGAACUGCCUUUGAUACUGAGGACCUUGAGUUCGGGAGAGGUGAGUGGAACUGCGAGUGUAGAGGUGAAAUUCGUAGAUAUUCGGCAAGAACACCAGUGGCGAAGGCGGCUCACUGGCCCGGUACUGACGCUGCGGUGCGAAAGCGUGGGGAGCAAACAGG